rnacentral:rRNA from 1 species
CAUGUCUUUUUGAUUAUAAUUUAAAGUCUAAUCUGCUCAAUGAUUAUUUAAAUAGCUGCAGUAUUUUGACUGUACAAAGGUAGCAUAAUAAUUAGUUUUUUUAUUGAAGACUGGAAUGAAUGAUUGGACGAGAUUAUUGCUGUCUCAAUUUAAUUUUAUUGAAUUUAACUUUUUAGUAAAAAGGCUAAAAUGGUUUUAAAAGACGAGAAGACCCUAUAGAGUUUAACAUAUUAUUAUUAUAUAGUUUUUAGAAUUUUUGUAAUUGUAAAAUAGGAGUUAUGUUUAAUUGGGGAGGUUAAAAAAUUUAUUAAACUUUUUUAUAUUUUAAUUAUUGAUUUUUAAUUUUUUUAUCUAAAGGUUAAAAAUAAUAUAAAUUACCUUAGGGAUAACAGCGUUAUAUAUUUUAAAAGUUCUUAUUUUAAGAUAUGUUUGCGACCUCGAUGUUGGAUUAAAAUAAAUUUUUA